AUAAUGUAGUGGACGGGACGCUUCUUCAACAACAUCUCGUCAGCCACCUCGGUAGCUUCCUAGCGGAAACGUUCAAGCUGUUCAGACUGCUUCGGUCUAUAUUUACUUCUGUAUUUGGAACAUAAUUCUGUCUUUUAACUAGUUUCCCCAUUUCAUGUCAUAUUUCCGUUUCGUCAGGUAACGGUAGCUGGCUUGAUAAAUGAGCCUAUCACUAGUCUAGUCGCUAACUAGCUAGGUUAGCUGGCUAACAUCCCCGACCAUGAGCUCAGCAAGCUGCUGCCCUCCUGCUAAAAAAGAGGUCUGCUGGAAGGAGAAAGAAGGUAUUUGGCUGAACGUUGUCGUGAAAGAGGAGAAUGAAGAGGAGGAUGUCACAGUGAACGAAGAAGUCGAGGGUGAGGCUGUUACACAGAAAGAAGAGGAAGAAAACGAUUAGACUUUUUUUGGAGUGAAUGAAGGAGAGAUAACUGUCAUAUUGAAGGAGGAGGAGAGGGAAGAAGAGAAGGAGACAGAAGAUCUGAGUAACACCAGAGAGAGACCAGACUCUCCUUCUGACAGCGGGAAGAGUCCUUCAGGGAAACCAGACCCCGAGACGUCCAAACCAGCAGGACGACAUCACUGCUCCCAGUGUGGGAAGAGUUUUACUCAGUUAGGGAGCUUGAGAACACAUAAGAGAAUACACACUGGAGAGAAGCCUUACCACUGUUCCCAAUGUGGAAUGUCGUUUACCCAGUUAGGGAGCCUGCAAACGCAUGAGAGGGGACACACAGGGGAAAAGCUUUUCCAAUGUUCCCAUUGUGGAAAGAGUUUUGGCCAGGUAGGAAACCUGAACAAGCAUGAGAGGACACACACAGGUAAGAAGAUGUACCGCUGCUCCCAGUGUGGAGAGAGAUUUACCCGGUUAAGGUACCUGAAAGAGCAUGAAAGAAUACAUACAAAUACACAGGAGGAGAAGACAUACCACUGCUGGGGAUCCAUAAUAAACCCCAGGAAGAGUAGCUGCUGCCUUGUCAGGAACUAAUGGGGAUCCAUAUUAAACCCCAGGAAGAGUAACUGCUGCCUUGGCAGGAACUAAUGGGUUUCCAUAUUAAACCCCAGGAAGAGUAGCUGCUGCCUUGGCAGGAACUAAUGGGGAUCCGUAAUAAAUACAAAUACUUUUAUCAAUAUAUUUGUCUCUCUCUACUCUCGGAUUCAAAUAUGCUAAUUAGCAUCAAAGUAGACAACAUGCAAGACUACAAAUCCCUGCAAGCUCCUGCAAGUCAUCUCGAGCCAACACAUUUCACAGAAUUGUCCAAGAAAUCUGGAGCUUUGUCAGAGUGAACAUCGGGUUCUUGUUUACCUCCUUGAUCAAGGCCCUUCUCCCCCGAUUUCUCAGUUUGGCCGGGCAGCCUGCUCUAGAAAGAGUAUUGGUGGUUCCAAACUUCUUCCAUUUAAGAAUGAUGGUGGCCAUUGUGUUCAUGGGGACCGUUUGCUACAGACAUUUUUGGUACCUUUCCACAGAUCUGUGCCUCGACACAAUCCUGUCUCAGAACUGUACCGACAAUUCCUUUGACCUCAUGGCUUGGUUUUUGCUCUGACAUGCACUGUAAACUGUGGGACCUUAUAUAGACAGGUGUGUGCCUUUCCAAACCAUGUCUAAUUUAUUGAAUUUACCACAGGUGGACUCCAAUCAAGUUGUAGAAACAUCUCAAGGAUGAUCAAUGGAAGAAGGAUGUCUGAGCUCAUUUUCGAGUCUCAUAGCAAAGGGUCUGAAUACUUAAGUAAAUACAUUUGCAAAAAAUUCAAAUCUGUUUUUGGUUUGUUAUUAUGGGGUUUUGUGUGUAGAUUGAUGAGGGGAAAAACAUAUUCAAUUUUAUAAUGAGGCUGUAACGUAACUAAAUGUGGAAUAAGUGAAGGGGUCUGAAUACUUAAUGAAUACACUGUAUACCACUGGAAGAGGUUUCUAUCAUUGGCAGUUUUGUACACAGUCAGGUGAUACGUGGUAUAGAAAGUCCAAUCUUAGGAGAGAACAUGGGAGGCACUAUACUGUAUGUCUGCAGGUGUCUAUCUGGUCAAAACCACUGAUACAGGUGCCCCUCCACCCUCUGGUGGGAUGGAUCAUAAUUAUGAUAAUCAACUGAAAUAAAUUAAAAAUAAACUUUUGGUUCCUCAACUGCGUUUGCCACUCCAGUCAGCAGAUGGCGAUGUGCGUCUUUUAGGUUCAGGCGAUGCUGCCAGUGUGACGUAUAAUCUAGUGGACGGGACGCUGCUUCAAAAACAACAGUUUGACACCUCGGUAGCUUAAUAGCAAACACAGCUACAACAUUCACUUUCUUUACACUGUUUUGGUGUAUAUUAGUCGCUGUGUAUUAAACACACUUCUGUCGUAUGUACGUGUUGGCCCAUUUAAUUAUAUAAUUACGUUGUUUGUCAGCUAGCUGGUUUGCUAAAUUAGCUUAGAACUAGGCCAGUUGCUAAUGCUAGCUAACGAACAUCCCCGACCAUGAGUUCACUAAGCUGCUCUCCUCCUGCUAAAGAAGAGGAGGUCUUCUGGACGGAGAAAGAAGUUCUCCCGAAAGAGGAGGAGGAAGAGAAGGAUGUUUCAAUACAAAAACAAGUAGAGGGUGAAGCUGUUACCGUGAAAGAAGAAGAGAAAGACGUUUCAGUGGAAGAAAAGGAAGACUCGUUCAGAUUGAAAGAGGAGGAGGCGGAGAUGACUGUCACAUCGGUAAAGGAGGAGGAGGAAGAAGAGGACACUGGACAUCUGGGCCCGGUUUCCCAAACGCAUCUUAAGGCAUCCUAUGGUUCUAAAGGGUGAACUCAGCCGUAAGAUGGUUUUGAGAAACUGGGCCGUGAUUAACACUAGAGAGAGACGUGACUAUCGUGGAUCCUCUGGGGAGCCUCAACAACAUCAUGAAGCUGACGAGGCAGAGAAGAGUCCCUCCCGAUCAGAACACCUCAAGAAACACCCGUGGAGACCAACAGGGAAGAAAUCUCACUGCUGCUCUAACUGUGGGAAGAGUUACUUAAGAUCAAAUUCACUAAAAGUACAAAUGAGAAUUCACACCGGAGAGAAAUCUUAUAGCUGUGGUCAAUGUGGGAAGAGUUUUACUACAUCUAGCCAUAGGAUUGCACACCAGAGAACACACACAGGAGGGAAACCUUGUAGCUGUGAUCAAUGUGGGAAGAGUUUUACUCAGUCAAGCAGCCUGUUAUCUCACCAGAGAAAACACACAGGAGAGAAACCUUACAGCUGUUAUCAAUGUGGGAAGAGUUUUACUCAGUCAAGCAACCUUGUAUCACACCAGAGAUCACACACAGGAGAGAAUCCUUAUAGUUGUGAACAAUGUGGGAAGAAUUUUACUACAUCCAGCCAUCUGAUUGUACACCAGAGAACACACACACAGGAGAGAAAUCUUAUAGUUGUGAACAAUGUGGGAAGAAUUUUACUUCAUCCAGCCAUCUGAUUGUACACCAGAGAACACACACACAGGAGAGAAAUCUUAUAGCUGUGAACAAUGUGGGAAGAGAUACUCUGAUAAAUGAUCUCUGAUCAAACAUCAGAAAAUACAUACAUGAAGUAGUUGUUUCAUGAUAUCAAUGAAUUAAUGUCACAAUGUAGAAUGUUUAAACAUUGUAGUAGCAGUAUUUUAAUGAUGUCACAAUGUAGAAUGUUUUAAUAUUGUAGUGGGAGUAUUUUAAUGAUGUCACAAUGUAGAAUCUUUUAACAUUGUAGUAGGAGUAUUUUAAUGUCACAAUGUAGAAUGUUUAAACAUUGUAGUAGGAGUAUUUUAAUGAUGUCACAAUGUAGAAUGUUUUAACAUUGUAGUAGGAGUAUUUUAAUGUCACAAUGUAGAAUGUUUAAACAUUGUAGUAGGAGUAUUUUAAUGAUGUCACAAUGUAGAAUGUUUUAACAUUGUAGUAGGAGUAUUUUAAUGUCACAAUGUAGAAUGUUUAAACAUUGUAGUAGGAGUAUUUUAAUGAUGUCACAAUGUAGAAUGUUUUAACAUUGUAGUAGGAGUAUUUUAAUGUCACAAU